rnacentral:rRNA from 1 species
AAAAACAUAGCCCUUGUAAUAAUCAAAGGUGCAACCUGCCCAAUGAUUUUAAAGUAAAUAAUAAUAACAAUCUUAUAAUAAAAUUUAAAGGACGCAGUAUCUUGACUGUGGUAAUGUAGCAUAAUCACUCGCCAUUUAAUUGAUGGAUAGUAUGAAUGGUUAAACGAAUAUCACACUGUCUCUAAUAAAAUACUCAUGAAAUUAAAAUAAUAGUUAAGAUGCUAUUUAAAACUGUAAGACGAAAAGACCCUAUAGAGCUUAACUACAUUUUCUCUUAAACUAAUAAAAUAAACCAUUUUAAAAAAGAGAAAAAGGUAGUUUAGUUGGGGCGACUAUCUUCUAUAAUAAACGAAGAUAAGCAAUGUUAAUGAAAAACUUAUUGUAUAAUACAUAAAUUUAACAAUUAUAAAAAUAGGCCAUAAUGACCCGUUAGGAUUUAGUAAUAAACCUAACGAUCAAUAAAUAAAAGCUACCUUAGGGAUAACAGGAUAAUUUUGUUUUAGAGAUCCUAUCGAAAACAAAGUUUGUCACCUCUAUGUUGAAUUAAGAUAUCCUGAUAGUGCAGCAGCCAUCAAAGGUAGGUCUGUUCGACCUUUAAAAUCUUACAUGAUUU